rfam:Clostridium colicanis DSM 13634 CLCO_contig000056, whole genome shotgun sequence.
GAUCAAGUAAAAAAGGGCGCACGGUGGAUGCCCUGGCACUAGGAGCCGAUGAAGGACGUGAUAAGCUGCGAUAAGCUGCGGGUAGAUGCAAAUAAUCUGUGAUCCGCAGAUUUCCGAAUGGGGAAACCCACUUAGCUAACGCUAAGUACUAUAUGCUGAAUACAUAGGCAUAUAGAGGUACACCUGGGGAACUGAAACAUCUA